rnacentral:rRNA from 1 species
AUUGAACGCUGGCGGCAGGCCUAACACAUGCAAGUCGAGCGGAUGAAGGGAGCUUGCUCCUGGAUUCAGCUGCGGACGGGUGAGUAAUGCCUAGGAAUCUGCCUGGUAGUGGGGGAUAACGUCCGGAAACGGGCGCUAAUACCGCAUACGUCCUGAUGGUGAAAGUGGGGGAUCUUCGGACCUCACGCUAUCAGAUGAGCCUAGGUCGGAUUAGCUAGUUGGUGGGGUAAAGGCCUACCAAGGCGACGAUCCGUAACUGGUCUGAGAGGAUGAUCAGUCACACUGGAACUGAGACACGGUCCAGACUCCUACGGGAGGCAGCAGUGGGGAAUAUUGGACAAUGGGCGAAAGCCUGAUCCAGCCAUGCCGCGUGUGUGAAGAAGGUCUUCGGAUUGUAAAGCACUUUAAGUAGGGAGGAACGACAGUAAGUUAAUACCUUGAUGUUUUGACGUUACCAAAAGAAUAAGCACCGGCUAACUUCGUG